UACGUAGGGGGCUAGCGUUGUCCGGAAUCAUUGGGCGUAAAGAGCGCGUAGGCGGCCAGAUAAGUCCGGUGUGAAAGUCAAAGGCUCAACCUUUGAAUGCCGCUGGAAACUGUCUGGCUAGAGUCCGGAAGGGGCGAGUGGAAUUCCUGGUGUAGCGGUGAAAUGCGCAGAUAUCAGGAGGAACACCAAUGGCGAAGGCAGCUCGCUGGAACGGUACUGACGCUGAGGCACGAAAGCGUGGGGAGCAAACAGG
rnacentral:rRNA from 1 species